ensembl:snRNA U6 U6 spliceosomal RNA
UCGCUUUGGCAGCACCUGUACAACAACUGAAACGAUAUAGAGAUUAGCACAGGCUCUGCGCAAGGGUGACAUGCAAAUUCAGGAAGUAUUUCGUAUUGUU